UAGGGAAUCUUCCGCAAUGGGCGAAAGCCUGACGGAGCAACGCCGCGUGAGUGAUGAAGGUCUUCGGAUCGUAAAACUCUGUUAUUAGGGAAGAACAAAUGUGUAAGUAACUAUGCACGUCUUGACGGUACCUAAUCAGAAAGCCACGGCUAACUACGUGCCAGCAGCCGCGGUAAUACGUAGGUGGCAAGCGUUAUCCGGAAUUAUUGGGCGUAAAGCGCGCGUAGGCGGUUUUUUAAGUCUGAUGUGAAAGCCCACGGCUCAACCGUGGAGGGUCAUUGGAAACUGGAAAACUUGAGUGCAGAAGAGGAAAGUGGAAUUCCAUGUGUAGCGGUGAAAUGCGCAGAGAUAUGGAGGAACACCAGUGGCGACGGCGACUUUCUGGUCUGUAACUGACGCUGAUGUGCGAAAGCGUGGGGAUCAAACAGG
rnacentral:rRNA from 1 species